GUCCACUUUACGGUAAGAAAAUCCUCCCCUCUCUGGCCUAUAAAUCCUCCAUCACCUCACCCGUUGGCCCCCCAACCCCUCACCACUCUCCCUCUUGCUCUCUCUAGAUUAGGUGGUGUAGGUUUUAGAGGGAGUGGAUCUUCUUCCUGUGGAAGGAGAAGGAGGUGAUAGGGAGGUGAGAUGUGGUUUCUCUUAGGAGGAAAUGGUGGCAGGAGGAGGAGUGGCUUCGAGGGAAUGGUUUUUCCCUCUAUCAGAGAGGUGUAGAGGGCUUCGAUGGCUUUAUUUCACCGCAGCCCUUGUCAAGGAUUAGAAAUUCAAGGUUUAAGAUUUCCGUGAUCUUUCCCCGUCGUUCUUCUUUCCAUAUUUGUGGAUUGAAAAUCUUAGAGCUGUUAGAGAUUUGGGCUAUAAGAGUGACAUUUCUGGCAUUCCUAUCUUGAAAUAUCAAAGAUUUGGUAAGUAUAUAUGAAUCAUGAAUGAUAUAGAAACGGAAGUAUUGAUUAGCAUUGUAUGGUAAAAGGUUUUACUGAAAUCUUGCAUCAAGAUCUUGUAUCAUUUUACAGAUGCAAUAUCAGAUGAUUAUUUUAUUGAUGCUUCCCCAUCUAUAAUAGAAGGAAAGGCUCGAGAUAUAUAUAUUUUUUCUCAUCAUGGUGGAUCAAAAAUCUAUAGCUUUUCUCAUAUGAAGCUUUUUGUGAACUUUUCCUUUUCUUAAUAUGGAUGUACUUUUGAACAGGAGUGAGUUUGUUUUAAAAUGGAAAACUUCCCAACUCUCCUUUUGGUGGUAUCAUAGA